rnacentral:tRNA from 1 species
GAAAUAUGAAACCCAGGGAUAAGCUUCUAACUUAAUCCCUAAGCAGUGAAAUUCUGUUUAUAUUUCU